CAUACAAUGAUAUGCCUACCAAAAACUGUAUUUAUUUACCACGAUGUGUUAAUGGGAUUUUCUUCAAAUUAUUUUACUUGAAGACCUCGGCAAUACUUUUUCCAAUACUAUAACAAACAGCCUCUGACAAAGGCCAGAAAGCAUCCUUUAUUCUACCAUGAAUGAAAGAAGAGGUUAGCAGUCUGCGAGUGCUGGGAUUCUCCUUUAUGUUAUACUGUAAAGUUGGCCUGCUUUGCUUUGCUUUUCUUCACUAGAACAUCAACCUGGACACUGUGCUGAUAAUAUGAUGGACCUCUCCAGAAUCAGAUAGAAAAUCCAAGGAAUACAUGGGCACUGCUGCGACCAAGAUCAUACAUAAACAACGUCUUCCAGCACUGGACUGAUGCUUUCAUCAAGUCAUGAUUUGAAGACCUCAUGAUUUGGAGAAACGCGCUGUCUGUUUUUGUAUAAAAUUAAGUCCUUGAUGAAAACAAAAUCCAUGUA